GUAAUAAAUGAAUGCCCCAUUUGUAUAACCUCAAUAAUAUGGUUUGAGGGUCUCUACCAGGAACCGAUAAAUCCUGAUUACAAAAAGUGUACGUCUUGUA
rfam:Paenibacillus polymyxa SC2, complete genome.